CCGGGGCUACCAACGGGAGAUGCAGUUUAUUUACACCAGCAGCCAUGGGGGCAGAGGGAAUACACAGCGUUUACAAAGUUAGCUACCUGUACAGAAUGGAUUACAUAUGCAAAAAUAAAAAUCUCAAGACCACAGGACAGCGUGAGCCCCACCCCCCUCCCCCAAUGACCCCAGCAUGCGGUAAUGCCAGGCGGGUGGCCCCUGGGCAUGCGGGGGGGAGUGAUGCAUGGAAGGAAAAGCCACCGGCCAUGGAAAUUAGUACAGAACCCCCCCACACACACUCAGACACAGGAUACAGGGUGGACGACACCUAGCCGGGGUGGGAAGGAUGGGAAUUGAAACCCACACAGCCUGCUGUUAGAGGGAGGGGAGUGGGGAGCUCCUAGCCCCUGUUCAACUACAUGGUAGGGGGGGCACUCUCUCCCCAGAAGGAAAAGGGUUUGUUCCCUCAGGGUCCCUGCUGGACCAAGCCCAUCUCUUACCCAGCCUGGGCAGGGGGCUCUGCCCUGAGGGCGGGCCAAGGAACAAUGGGGAAGUUUAUGUGGACAAACCAGUUCCCAAGCUACUUCCCACUUCUCCCUCCUCCAACCAGAAGGGGGGAAAAGGGAGAGGCCACAGGGCAAAGAGUGUAUUAGGGCCUGAGCUGCAGCUGCCUCUCAGAAGGGAGAGUGGCCCACAGCCUUCCUCCCUUCACCUUCAGCCCACUCCCCAGACUGCAUCUGGAAGCGGCUAGAGGCCUGCUGAGAUCCUCCUCUCCCUCUGGCCUCCUCUCGGAGGGAGACUACGGAGGGCCAAGAAUAGAGAAGCCCAGGCCCCGGGAUUUAUUCUAACUCCUGCCAAAAUCUGUUUGGCUUUUUAAAAAAUAAUCACAAUUUGUGGGUUAAAAACCAAUUUGCAACCAGGCAUGAGCCACAAUCAGAACCACCCCAGCGGGAGAGCGGAGUUCCAGACAGGGCAUUGCAGCCCCAUCUCUGUUGUUCCCUUAACCCUCUAGGGUCCCUAACCCGAUCAGUCCAACCAGUCCUGGGUACUAACUACCCAAAUGUGGGAUGGCUCCUCUUGGGAAGAGGGUAGGGGACAUGUCCAGCAAGUGCCAGAGAACUUGGCUCAGGGUCACCUCCACCCAUGUCAGUCAGCUCUGCUCCCAGCCCAGGUCGCGGUCCUCCAGCUUGGCUCCUGGGAGUGGUGGUGCCCGCAUGGAGGGGGGACGGUACAUCUCUUUAGGAUGUAGACCAGGCAGGUGGGCACACUGGCAUGACAGUCCCACAGAGGGGCAGUGACACCCCUUCCCCUCCACUGACAACCUGGGGCACAGAGGCCACCCUCUCUUCCCACCCAACUCCUAGCAAAGGGGGAGAGGCACAAGAUUAGGAUUUUCCUCAGAGCCCCAAACCACAAGUACAGAAUAAAUAACUUAAAAGCGCUAAGGAAGGGAAACAGGGCACGCUUUGGAGGCAGGAGCGCUGAGAGGAACUGAAGCCAGUCAAGGUGAAGGGGGUGGAAGCAGCAGUUGGGAACCUGGGCUGCCCCGGUAGGGCAGUGGGGCAGGGUGGGCAGGAGGAACACGGGGCCACCCCAGGAGGGUGAGGCUGGGUCCCUUCCUGGGGCAGGGAAUGAGGUAAGAAAACAUUUCAAAUAAAGCAGCACCGUUCCCUCUCACCUUGGGGCCCCACUCCUCACCAGCCCUGGGUCAGGGAGGAGAGGCAGGGGGAGGAAUUCUGACACUUCUCCCUCUUCCUACCCUCCCUUUCCCAUUCCUUGAAGCUGUAGAGGCUGGAGGCCCUUUCCUGGCACCCAACAAAAGGACAGCUCCUGCUGCCAAGGAGGCCCAUGGGGACUGAGGGGAAAGGGCUGCCCCUGUGAGGGGCAGGGAAGGUGGCGGCAGUUCUGGACGCCCACCUCAGCAGACAGCACUCUGUGCCUGCCUACCCCUGGGACUGGGGGCAUUUGAUAAGAUUCUGCACACAGACAGGACAUGCCCAGCCUUGCCCCUCAGCUCCAAGCACCGGACCCAUUCACAUUGCUGAGGGCGGCCGAGGCAGGCAGUGCCCUGGCACAGUGCCCAGGUCAGGCCCCUGG
rnacentral:lncRNA from 1 species